AUUGAACGCUGGCGGAAUGCUUUACACAUGCAAGUCGAACGGCAGCACGGGGGCAACCCUGGUGGCGAGUGGCGAACGGGUGAGUAAUACAUCGGAACGUGCCCAGUCGUGGGGGAUAACGUAGCGAAAGUUACGCUAAUACCGCAUACGAUCUACGGAUGAAAGCGGGGGACCGUAAGGCCUCGCGCGAUUGGAGCGGCCGAUGUCAGAUUAGGUAGUUGGUGAGGUAAAGGCUCACCAAGCCGACGAUCCGUAGCUGGUCUGAGAGGACGCCCAGCCACACUGGGACUGAGACACGGCCCAGACUCCUACGGGAGGAAGCAGUGGGGAAUUUUGGACAAUGGGCGCAAGCCUGAUCCAGCCAUUCCGCGUGCAGGACGAAGGCCUUCGGGUUGUAAACUGCUUUUGUACGGAACGAAAAGGCUCUGGUUAAUACCUGGGGCUCAUGACGGUACCGUAAGAAUAAGCACCGGCUAACUACGUGCCAGCCGCCGCCGUAA
rnacentral:rRNA from 1 species